rnacentral:rRNA from 1 species
UACGAAGGGGGCUAGCGUUGUUCGGAAUUACUGGGCGUAAAGGGCGCGUAGGCGGCGUGUCAAGUCAGGCGUGAAAGCCCCGGGCUCAACCUGGGAACCGCGCUUGAGACUGGCAUGCUCGAGUUCGGGAGAGGAUGGUGGAAUUCCCAGUGUAGAGGUGAAAUUCGUAGAUAUUCGCAAGAACACCAGUGGCGAAGGCGACCACCUGGACUGAUACUGACACUGAGGUGCGAAAGCGUGGGGAGCAAACAGG